AGUGGAUGGGGAGCAACCUAGUUGUGCGUGUGUAAAGGUAGUGCCAAGAAAAGCGAUGAUCAUGUUGAAAAUCAAUUCCCGGUACCCGAAACCGACACAGGUGGGCAAGUAGAGAAUACUAAGGGGCGCGAGGUAACUCUCUCCAAGGAACUCGGCAAAAUGACCCCGUAACUUAGGGAGAAGGGGUGCCACCGAGAGGUGGUCGCAGUGAAGAGGCCCAGGCGACUGUUUAGCAAAAACAUAGGUCUCUGCAAACUCGAAAGAGGAGGUAUAGGGGCUGACGCCUGCCCAGUGCCGGAAGGUUAAAGAAGUUGGUCAGUCUUAGGAUGAAGCUAGCGACUGAAGCCCCGGUGAACGGCGGCCGUAACUAUAACGGUCCUAAGGUAGCGAAAUUCCUUGUCGGGUAAGUUCCGACCCGCACGAAAGGCGUAACGAUCUGGGCGCUGUCUCGGAGAGAGGCCGAAAUAGGAUUGUCUGUGAAGAUACGGACUACCUGCAUUUGGACAGAAAGACCCUAUGAAGCUUUACUAUAGCUUGGAAUUGUGUUCGGGCUUCCUGUGCGCAGGAUAGGUGGGAGGCGUAGAAGGUAUUCUUGUGGGGAUACUGGAGCCAACGGUGAGAUACCACUCUCAGGAGGCUAGAAUUCUAACUUAAUUAGGGACAGUUUCAGGUGGGUAGUUUGACUGGGGCGGUCGCCUCCAAAAAGGUAACGGAGGCGUACAAAGGUUCCCUCAGACUGGUUGGAAAUCAGUCGAAGAGUGCAAAGGCAGAAGGGAGCUUGACUGCGAGAAGUACAGUUCGAGCAGGGUGGAAACACGGUCUUAGUGAUCCGACGGUGCUGUGUGGAAGGGCCGUCGCUCAACGGAUAAAAGUUACUCUAGGGAUAACAGGCUGAUCUCCCCCAAGAGUUCACAUCGACGGGGAGGUUUGGCACCUCGAUGUCGGCUCAUCGCAACCUGGGGCGGAAGUACGUCCCAAGGGUUGGGCUGUUCGCCCAUUAAAGCGGUACGUGAGCUGGGUUCAUAACGUCGUGAGACAGUUCGGUCCAUAUCCGAUGUAGGCGUGAGAAUAUUGAGAGGAGCCUUCCUUAGUACGAGAGGACCGGGAAGGACGCACCGCUGGUGUACCUGUUAUGAUGCCAAUUGUAAACGCAGGGUAGCCAAGUGCGGAGAGGAUAACCGCUGAAAGCAUCUAAGUGGGAAGCCCACCUCAAGAUGAGUAUUCUGGUGUAAGGUCACGGGAAGACGACCCGUAAAUAGGCACGAGGUGGAAGUGCAGAGAUGUAUGAAGCCGAAGUGUACUAAUAGACCGUCGGCUUG
rnacentral:rRNA from 1 species